GUGGGUUUGUAAGUCGGGCGUGAAAUCCCUCGGCUUAACCGAGGAACUGCGUCCGAAACUGCAUGGCUUGAGGACGGAAGGGGAAGGUGGAAUUCCUGUGGAGCGGUGAAAUGCGUAGAUAUCAGGAGGAACGCCGGUGGCGAAAGCGGCCUUCUGGUCCGUUUCUGACGCUGAGGUGCGAAAGCUAGGGGAGCAAACAGGAUUAGAUACCCUGGUAGUCCUAGCCGUAAACGAUGGGCACUAAGUAGAGGGG
rnacentral:rRNA from 1 species